GGUUAAGCGACUAAGCGUACACGGUGGAUGCCUAGGCAAUCAGAGGCGAUGAAGGACGUGCUAAUCUGCGAUAAGCGUCGGUAAGGUGAUAUGAACCGUUACAACCGACGAUUUCCGAAUGGGGAAACCCAGUGCAAUUCGUUGCACUAUCGUUUGAUGAAUACAUAGUCAAACGAAGCGAACCGGGGGAACUGAAACAUCUCAGUACCCCGAGGAAAAGAAAUCAACCGAGAUUCCCCUAGUAGCGGCGAGCGAACGGGGAGCAGCCCAGAGUCUUAAUCAGCAUUAGCAUCAGGAGAACGGUCUGGAAAGUCCGGCAGUAAAGGGUGAUAGCCCCGUAUCCGAAGGUGUUAGUGUUGUGAACUCGACGAGUAGGGCGGGACACGUGUUAUCCUGUCUGAAUAUGGGGGGACCAUCCUCCAAGGCUAAAUACUCCUGAUUGACCGAUAGUGAACCAGUACCGUGAGGGAAAGGCGAAAAGAACCCCGGCGAGGGGAGUGAAAUAGAACCUGAAACCGUGUACGUACAAGCAGUGGGAGCCUUGAUUUAUCAGGGUGACUGCGUACCUUUUGUAUAAUGGGUCAGCGACUUAUAUUCUGUAGCAAGGUUAACCGUAUAGGGGAGCCGUAGGGAAACCGAGUCUUAACUGGGCGAAUAAGUUGCAGGGUAUAGACCCGAAACCCGGUGAUCUAGCCAUGGGCAGGUUGAAGGUUGGGUAACACUAACUGGAGGACCGAACCGACUAAUGUUGAAAAAUUAGCGGAUGACUUGUGGCUGGGGGUGAAAGGCCAAUCAAACCGGGAGAUAGCUGGUUCUCCCCGAAAGCUAUUUAGGUAGCGCCUCGUGAACUCAUCUUCGGGGGUAGAGCACUGUUUCGACUAGGGGGUCAUCCCGACUUACCAACUCGAUGCAAACUACGAAUACCGAAGAAUGUUAUCACGGGAGACACACGGCGGGUGCUAACGUUCGUCGUGAAGAGGGAAACAACCCAGACCGCCAGCUAAGGUCCCAAAGUCAUAGUUAAGUGGGAAACGAAGUGGGAAGGCUCAGACAGCCAGGAUGUUGGCUUAGAAGCAGCCAUCAUUUAAAGAAAGCGUAAUAGCUCACUGGUCGAGUCGGCCUGCGCGGAAGAUGUAACGGGGCUAAACUAUGCACCGAAGCUGCGGCAGCGAUAUUUAGAUAUUGUUGGGUAGGGGAGCGUUCUGUAAGCCUGUGAAGGUGUACUGUGAGGUAUGCUGGAGGUAUCAGAAGUGCGAAUGCUGACAUAAGUAACGAUAAUGCGGGUGAAAAACCCGCACGCCGGAAGACCAAGGGUUCCUGUCCAACGUUAAUCGGGGCAGGGUGAGUCGACCCCUAAGGCGAGGCAGAAAUGCGUAGUCGAUGGGAAACGGGUUAAUAUUCCCGUACUGGUGAUAAUUGCGAUGGGGGGACGGAGAAGGCUAGGCUAUCCGGGCGACGGUUGUCCCGGUUUAAGAAUGUAGGCAGGUGAAUUAGGCAAAUCCGGUUCACUACAUGCUGAGGUUCGAUGACGAGUCACUACGGUGAUGAAGUAGCUCAUGCCCCGCUUCCAGGAAAAGCCUCUAAGCUCUAGAUUAUCAUUAAUCGUACCCCAAACCGACACAGGUGGUCAGGUAGAGAAUACUCAGGCGCUUGAGAGAACUCGGGUGAAGGAACUAGGCAAAAUGGUGCCGUAACUUCGGGAGAAGGCACGCUGGCGCUAGGUGAAGUCCCUCGCGGAUGGAGCUGAAGCCAGUCGCAGAUACCAGCUGGCUGCAACUGUUUAUUAAAAACACAGCACUGUGCAAACACGAAAGUGGACGUAUACGGUGUGACGCCUGCCCGGUGCUGGAAGGUUAAUUGAUGGGGUUAUCCGUAAGGAGAAGCUCUUGAUCGAAGCCCCAGUAAACGGCGGCCGUAACUAUAACGGUCCUAAGGUAGCGAAAUUCCUUGUCGGGUAAGUUCCGACCUGCACGAAUGGCGUAAUGAUGGCCAGGCUGUCUCCACCCGAGACUCAGUGAAAUUGAACUCGCUGUGAAGAUGCAGUGUACCCGCGGCAAGACGGAAAGACCCCGUGAACCUUUACUAUAGCUUGACACUGAACAUUGAGCCUUGAUGUGUAGGAUAGGUGGGAGGCUUCGAAGCGUGGACGCCAGUCUGCGUGGAGCCAACCUUGAAAUACCACCCUUUAAUGUUUGAUGUUCUAACGUUGCCCCAUUAUCUGGGGUGCGGACAGUGUCUGGUGGGUAGUUUGACUGGGGCGGUCUCCUCCCAAAGAGUAACGGAGGAGCACGAAGGUUGGCUAAGCAUGGUCGGACAUCAUGCGGUUAGUGCAAAGGCAUAAGCCAGCUUGACUGCGAGAGUGACGGCUCGAGCAGGUACGAAAGUAGGUCUUAGUGAUCCGGUGGUUCUGAAUGGAAGGGCCAUCGCUCAACGGAUAAAAGGUACUCCGGGGAUAACAGGCUGAUACCGCCCAAGAGUUCAUAUCGACGGCGGUGUUUGGCACCUCGAUGUCGGCUCAUCACAUCCUGGGGCUGAAGUAGGUCCCAAGGGUACGGCUGUUCGCCGUUUAAAGUGGUACGCGAGCUGGGUUUAGAACGUCGUGAGACAGUUCGGUCCCUAUCUGCCGUGGGCGUUGGAAGAUUGAAAGGGGCUGCUCCUAGUACGAGAGGACCGGAGUGGACGCACCACUGGUGUUCGGGUUGUCAUGCCAAUGGCAUUGCCCGGUAGCUAAGUGCGGAAGAGAUAACCGCUGAAAGCAUCUAAGCGGGAAACUUGCCUUGAGAUGAGUCUUCCCUGACCCUUUAAGGGUCCUAAAGGAACGUUUAAGACUAAGACGUUGAUAGGUUGGGUGUGUAAGCAUAGCGAUAUGUUGAGCUAACCAAUACUAAUGAACCGUGAGGCUUAACCUG
rnacentral:rRNA from 1 species